rnacentral:ncRNA from 1 species
AAAAAGACAUUGAAAAGGAAAGUAAUUUAUCGAAAAUGCCUAGAGAGUUCUUGGUUGGUGGAAAAGAAACAUGGAAGAUAAACGAAAAUGGCCUUGGAGUUGCAUACCGACCCAAGAUCUUGGUUAGGCUAUGACGGAUUCACCCGUUAAAGUGAUAGAGUAUGAUGGUACUCGAUGAGGAAAUAAUCGUGAGGUUAUUUUAAAUUAAGGUGGUAACGCGAGGUAACUCGUCCUUUGU